UCUCAGAUUGAACGCUGGCGGCAGGCCUAACACAUGCAAGUCGAGCGGUAGCACAGGGAGCUUGCUCUUGGGUGACGAGCGGCGGACGGGUGAGUAAUGUCUGGGAAACUGCCUGAUGGAGGGGGAUAACUACUGGAAACGGUAGCUAAUACCGCAUAACGUCGCAAGACCAAAGAGGGGGACCUUCGGGCCUCUUGCCAUCAGAUGUGCCCAGAUGGGAUUAGCUAGUAGGUGGGGUAACGGCUCACCUAGGCGACGAUCCCUAGCUGGUCUGAGAGGAUGACCAGCCACACUGGAACUGAGACACGGUCCAGACUCCUACGGGAGGCAGCAGUGGGGAAUAUUGCACAAUGGGCGCAAGCCUGAUGCAGCCAUGCCGCGUGUAUGAAGAAGGCCUUCGGGUUGUAAAGUACUUUCAGCGGGGAGGAAGGCGAUAAGGUUAAUAACCUUGUCGAUUGACGUUACCCGCAGAAGAAGCACCGGCUAACUCCGUGCCAGCAGCCGCGGUAAUACGGAGGGUGCAAGCGUUAAUCGGAAUUACUGGGCGUAAAGCGCACGCAGGCGGUCUGUCAAGUCGGAUGUGAAAUCCCCGGGCUCAACCUGGGAACUGCAUUCGAAACUGGCAGGCUAGAGUCUUGUAGAGGGGGGUAGAAUUCCAGGUGUAGCGGUGAAAUGCGUAGAGAUCUGGAGGAAUACCGGUGGCGAAGGCGGCCCCCUGGACAAAGACUGACGCUCAGGUGCGAAAGCGUGGGGAGCAAACAGGAUUAGAUACCCUGGUAGUCCACGCCGUAAACGAUGUCGACUUGGAGGUUGUGCCCUUGAGGCGUGGCUUCCGGAGCUAACGCGUUAAGUCGACCGCCUGGGGAGUACGGCCGCAAGGUUAAAACUCAAAUGAAUUGACGGGGGCCCGCACAAGCGGUGGAGCAUGUGGUUUAAUUCGAUGCAACGCGAAGAACCUUACCUACUCUUGACAUCCAGAGAACUUUCCAGAGAUGGAUUGGUGCCUUCGGGAACUCUGAGACAGGUGCUGCAUGGCUGUCGUCAGCUCGUGUUGUGAAAUGUUGGGUUAAGUCCCGCAACGAGCGCAACCCUUAUCCUUUGUUGCCAGCGGUCCGGCCGGGAACUCAAAGGAGACUGCCAGUGAUAAACUGGAGGAAGGUGGGGAUGACGUCAAGUCAUCAUGGCCCUUACGAGUAGGGCUACACACGUGCUACAAUGGCGCAUACAAAGAGAAGCGACCUCGCGAGAGCAAGCGGACCUCAUAAAGUGCGUCGUAGUCCGGAUUGGAGUCUGCAACUCGACUCCAUGAAGUCGGAAUCGCUAGUAAUCGUAGAUCAGAAUGCUACGGUGAAUACGUUCCCGGGCCUUGUACACACCGCCCGUCACACCAUGGGAGUGGGUUGCAAAAGAAGUAGGUAGCUUAACCUUCGGGAGGGCGCU
rnacentral:rRNA from 1 species